UACGUAGGGUGCAAGCGUUGUCCGGAAUUAUUGGGCGUAAAGAGCGUGUAGGCGGCCUCGUAAGUCCGCUGUGAAAGUCCAGGGCUCAACCCUGGAAAGCCGGUGGAUACUGCGAGGCUAGAGUCCGGAAGGGGCGAGUGGAAUUCCUGGUGUAGCGGUGAAAUGCGCAGAUAUCAGGAGGAACACCAAUGGCGAAGGCAGCUCGCUGGGACGGUACUGACGCUAAGGCGCGAAAGCGUGGGGAGCGAACAGG
rnacentral:rRNA from 1 species